rnacentral:rRNA from 1 species
UAGUGUAGAGAAUCUGCCCUGUACUGGGGGACAACAGAGGGAAACUUCUGCUAAUACCCCAUAUGAGCGUACCUGCGAUGGUAUUCUUGAAAGUUCCGGCGGUACAGGAUGAGUCUGCAUCUGAUUAGCUAGUUGGUGGUGUAACGGACUACCAAGGCGACGAUCAGUAGCUGGUUUGAGAGGAUGAUCAGCCACAAUGGGACUGAGACACGGCCCAUACUCCUACGGGAGGCAGCAG